rnacentral:rRNA from 1 species
GAUGAACGCUGGCGGCGUGCCUAAUACAUGCAAGUCGAGCGAACAGACGAGGAGCUUGCUCCUCUGACGUUAGCGGCGGACGGGGGAGUAACACGUGGAUAACCUACCUAUAAGGCUGGGAUAACUUCGGGAAACCGGAGCUAAUACCGGAUAAUAUAUUGAACCGCAUGGUUCAAUAGUGAAAGACGGUUUUGCUGUCACUUAUAGAUGGAUCCGCUCCGCAUUAGCUAGUUGGUAAGGUAACGGCUUACCAAGGCAACGAUGCGUAGCCGACCUGAGAGGGUGAUCGGCCACACUGGAACUGAGACACGGUCCAGACUCCUACGGGAGGCAGCAGUAGGGAAUCUUCCGCAAUGGGCGAAAGCCUGACGGAGCAACGCCGCGUGAGUGAUGAAGGUCUUCGGAUCGUAAAACUCUGUUAUUAGGGAAGAACAAAUGUGUAAGUAACUAUGCACGUAUUGACGGUACCUAAUCAGAAAGCCACGGCUAACUACGUG